rnacentral:rRNA from 1 species
AAGUCGAACGAAGUAGCAAUACUUAGUGGCAGACGGGUGAGUAACAUGUAGGUAUCUACCUUUGGCCUGGAAUAACACGAGGAAACUUGUGCUAAUACCGGAUAAGUCUUUACGGAGAAAGCUUUAUGCACCAUUGGAUGAGCCUGCACUUGAUUAGUUUGUUGGUGGGGUAAUGGCCUACCAAGACUUUGAUCAAUAGCUGAUUUGAGAGGAUGAUCAGCCACAUUGGGACUGAGACACGGCCCAAACUCCUACGGGAGGCAGCAGUGGGGAAUCUUGCACAAUGGAGGAAACUCUGAUGCAGCGAUGCCGCGUGAGUGAAGAAGGCCCUUGGGUUGUAAAGCUCUUUCGUCGGGGAAGAAAAUGACUGUACCCGAAUAAGAAGGUCCGGCUAACUUCGUGCCAGCAGCCGCGGUAAUACGAAGGGACCUAGCGUAGUUCGGAAUUACUGGGCUUAAAGAGUUCGUAGGUGGUUGAAAAAGUUGGUGGUGAAAUCCCAGAGCUUAACUCUGGAACUGCCAUCAAAACUUUUCAGCUAGAGUUUGAUAGAGGAAAGCAGAAUUUCUAGUGUAGAGGUGAAAUUCGUAGAUAUUAGAAAGAAUACCAAUUGCGAAGGCAGCUUUCUGGAUCAUUACUGACACUGAGGAACGAAAGCAUGGGUAGCGAAGAGGAUUAGAUACCCUCGUAGUCCAUGCCGUAAACGAUGUGUGUUAGACGUUGGAAAUUUAUUUUCAGUGUCGCAGCGAAAGCGAUAAACACACCGCCUGGGGAGUACGACCGCAAGGUUAAAACUCAAAUGAAUUGACGGGGACCCGCACAAGUAGUGGAGCAUGUGGUUUAAUUCGAAGAUACGCGCAGAACCUUACCAACACUUGACAUGUUCGUCGCGACUUUAAGAGAUUAAAGUUUUCGGUUCGGCCGGACGAAACACAGGUGCUGCAUGGCUGUCGUCAGCUCGUGUCGUGAGAUGUUGGGUUAAGUCCCGCAACGAGCGCAACCCUCACUUUUAGU